ensembl:lncRNA
AGAGUGAAACUGAAUUGAAAAUCCCUCUCGAAAUUAACACUGCUAACAGGUGUGAUAAACUUUCUAUCCAGGUUCUCCACCAGAGGAGGAUCAAGGUCGGCCAGAGGGACCUUUUAGACCAAGUGAGUGUUAAGUAUAAAUUUCUUUAGAUCUUGUGACUCCUUAGACUAUUGCUCACUGGUGUGAUACAUUUUCCAUGUAGGUCUUCCACCAGCAGAGGAUCAAAGUCAGCCAGAGGGACGCUCCAAAAGAAGUGAGUGGUCAGUAAAUUUCUUCAUGUCUCAUGACUUUUUCAACAAAUGCUGACUGGUGUGGUUAUCUUUCUGUUCAGGUCUUUCACCAGCAGGAGGACAAAAUCAGCCAGAGGGAUCUUUUAGACCAAGUUCUCCACCAGCAGAUAAUCAAGGUCGGCCAGAGGGACAUUUUAGACCAAGUCUUCCACCAGCAGAGGAUGAAAGUCGUCCAACAGGACCUAUUAGACCAAGUCUUCCACCAGCAGAGGAUCAAGGUCGACCAGAGGGACCUUUUAGACCAGGUCCACCAGAGGAGGAUCAAGGUCGGCCAGAGGGACCUUUUAGAAGACGUGAGUGUUGAUAACAUUUCUACAGAUCUAAUGAGUUCUUUGACCACUGCUCACUGGUGUAUUGAUCUUUCCAUCUACGUCAUCCACCAGCAAAGGAUCACAAUCGCCCAGAAGGACCUUUUAGACCAGGUCCACCUGCAGAGGAUCAAGGUCGGCCAGAGGGACGUUUUAGACGAAGUGAUUCAUCAGCAGAAGGACAAAGUCAGCCAGAGGGAUCUUUUAGACCAAGUCUUCCACCAGCAGAGGAUCAAGGCCAGCCAGAUGGAGCUUUUAGACCAAGUCUUCCACCAGCAGAGGAUCAAGGUCGUCCAGAGGGACCUUUUAGACCCAAAAAUAGAGACCGCUUGCAACAUUAACCUUACCUCUGAAAUACAAACACUGGUGAAUGGAUUUUUGAAUUCAAGCUCAUCUCUGUCCUCAAGACAUUUUAACUCAUUUUACAUUUCUCUUUCUAUUCUAUUGCUGUAACACUGAAAAUGAAUGAAACAACAAGUGCAGGAAUGUUUCUUAGGUUUGUACCUGUAUUAGGAGCAGACUGCAUGUGUUUUUUUGUUACAACUUUAUUCUUCAAAGUGAACUGUUCCUUCUCAUCUUAUGCAAGAAAAAAA